GCCUGCCCGGUGACUGAAGUUUAACGGCCGCGGUAUCUUGACCGUGCAAAGGUAGCGCAAUCACUUGUCUUUUAAAUGAAGACCUGUAUGAAUGGCAAAACGAGGGCUUAACUGUCUCUUUCCCCCAGUCAAUGAAAUUGAUCUUCCCGUGCAGAAGCGGGAAUAUAAACAUAAGACGAGAAGACCCUAUGGAGCUUUAGACACAAGACAGCUCAUGUUAAAAGACCUUUUCAAAAAGACAUAAACCAAUUGAACCCUGUCAUUAAUGUCUUUGGUUGGGGCGACCACGGGGAAAUAAUUAACCCCCAUGUGGAAUAAGGGGACAAACCCCUCAAACCCAAGAGCCACCACUCUAAAAAUCAGAACCUCUGACCUAAAGAUCCGGCAAUGCCGAUCAACGGACCAAGUUACCCUAGGGAUAACAGCGCAAUCCCCUUCUAGAGCCCACAUCGACAAGGGGGUUUACGACCUCGAUGUUGGAUCAGGACAUCCUAAUGGUGCAGCCGCUAUUAAGGGUUCGUUUGUUCAACGAUUAAAGUCCUACGUGAUCUGA
rnacentral:rRNA from 1 species